ensembl:lncRNA novel transcript
GGAGAGGAUAUCUGGGGAAGGCCUCUUUGAGGAGGUGAGUUGUGAAGGGACAAGAAAGAGACAGCCAUAUGGACACUGGAGUUAAGACUAUCAGUCACAGUAGCGACUCUGGUUUUCUCAAGUUCAUAUUGUUGUACUGUAAGAGCAGAGGCAUUCUAACUUUCCAGCAGCUUCCAAGUGGAAGAGUUUUUAUUGCCUUGGUGGCUUUCCUUAACAAUUGAACAGAACCACAAGGGAGAAAGACCUUUUUUUCAGGGAAGCUGGGGUAGGUAGAGUUGGCCUCUGACCUAAGAUUUUGUCCAGUGACUUUUCUGUUGGAACGGAAUGUCUAAGAAAACCCAAGGAAGAAGUGAAGUCUCUAAGAAAUGUCAGGCAGAAAUCACCCGGGGGCAAAAUCCACCUGAAAAUGUUGAUUAGCCUCUCCCUUUCCCUCUUUCAUCCACAUCCUUAUCUCUAUAUACUCACAUGGUAGAAGGUCAGAUUGUUUUCCUUAAGAAGAAUUUUCUCAUGUAAAAUAUUAAUGCAAUCUGAAUUGCAUAAUUUUACCAUAUUCUAUUAUCUGAAAUUAGUUAUAAUAAUUCAAUGCUUUCACCCCAUACCACAUAAAUACAAAGCAUUUUUUCUUAGUGGGUGGAAUGGUGAACCCCAAAAUGAUAUGUUCAUGUCCUCACCCACAAAAACUGUAAAUGUGAUGUUAUUUGGAAAGGGAGUCUUUGCAGAUGUUACUAAGUUAAGGAUCACAAGAGCAUACUGAUUUAGGGUGGGCCCUAAAUCCAAUGACAAGUCCUUCUAAGAGAAGAGCAGGGGAAACAGGCACAGCUAUAGUCACAGAGGGGAGAAAGGCAUGUGACGAUGCAGGCAGAGAUUAAAUAAGGCUGCCACAAGCCAAGGAACUCCAGGAGCCUCCAGAAGUUAGAAGAAGCAAGAAAAGAUUCUCCUCUAGAGCCUUUCAAGGGAGCACCAUGUUAAUAACACCUUGAUUCAGAUUUCUAGCCUUGAGAUUUGUGGGAGAAAAUAUUUCCAUGUUUGAAACCAUCAAAUUUGUGGUAAUUUGUUGUAGCAACUGAAGGAAACAAAUACACCAUCUGAAGCUGAGCUUUUGAAGGUUGGAAAAUUAUACUUGCCUUUAUUUCAGUUUAUUUUUCUUCAGUGAAAAAAGCAAUCAACAGGAAUGAAAUGGCUUAACAAGAGCACAUUGCAGGUUGCACAAAGGCAUCACUGGCAGUUCUACCACUGCUCCAUCAAAGACUGUGUUCCCAGACCCUGCAAUUUCCCAUCCUGUGAACCACAGCACAGGGUAAUGGAAGAAAAGCUGGACUACGAAUCAUAAGCUGAGGUACUGUUGUUCCUGUUUAUAGACUCUCAGUCUUGAUUUUUCUAUCUUGCCUUUGUGUACUUCACAGUGGAGGGAUCUUAAUAUGAUCAAAAUAGAAUAAUAAAAUAACAGCUGUGAAAACAAGCUACAGGUAAUAGUGUUCCAUGAAAAUAUGUUCAUAUUAUUAUAGAAGAGAGGAAUAAAAAGAAGUUAAAUAUGAAGUCACAUCCCAUAUAGACAUCACUAAACCUGAAUAAUGAACAGGAAUUCCUUACUCCUGAUGUCACUGGGUGACGUCCACAUAGCCCACAACGUUCAAGGCUCUGAUGAGCUCACUCUGAUGAGCUUCCAAGAGUCCAAGUCCUCCACUGUUCUUUCUUCCUCACAGAAAAUUGACAUGAAAAGUACAGGUCAGGCUUGGCUACCUUCUGAGGGAUCAAAUAUGCACAGAAGUGAUAGCCUCAUCAUAGUGCCAAACUCAGAAUUAAACACCAUUCUUGGCCAUUAGGUCCAUACACUAGUGUUUUUCUGGGAUUCUCUGGAAGACACCAGAAUAUCCUGGUACCAUUCAGUCCUACCUUAUGGGCCAAGCCUGAGGAUGUUUCAAAAGAAACCCAGAGCAGCCAAGGUGGUGGUUUUGUGGAAGGUCUUAGAAGCCUCACUGCCAAAGCGAAACCAGCUGAGUAAACUUCACAAGCAGACCCACACCACUCAGUAAGGUGUCCCACUAAGAUAUUAGCCUUGACAAGAGAGCCCUGGUGCCAUGGAAACAGGGUAAACACAGAGUUUGUCUUCCAGGCUUUGUGGAAGAUGCUACAAUCCUCAUCCUGCCUCCAGACCCAGAAUGUACAGAAAAGUAGACUGAGGAAGAAAACAUAAAAGAAAAGAGAACAUAGGCUAAGACUGACCUAAGUUUAGAAAUAAAUGCUUUAACAUUGACCUGAAAAUUUGUUAGGGAAGAGUUGAUUUCCCUUCUCCUUGCUGCCUAUCAAAAUUAAAUUAAAAAUAAAAAAAGUUUUCCCUUCUUCUCCUUGCUGCCUAUCAAAAUUAAAUGAAAAAAAAGUUUUGCAUUCAUGAUUUAUGUGAGCUAUCAUGCUAGCUACAUGGCUUAAUUAUGGCCAAGUAUAGUCAAGUGGACAGAACACGGAACUUACACAGGUCUGGAUUCAAGCAGCCAACAUGGUCACUUGAAUGGACCAGUUAAGAAGCCUAUGUGUCUACCUAAGUCUGUUUUCUCACUUGUAAAAUAUAGGUGCCUAGUUAGAGAGGAUAAGGAAACCAUUCUUAAAACCAUAUUUAGAGGAAUCUCAAAAUAUCAAAAGAACAAUAAUUUAAUAUACUGAAAUAUAUUAAUAAGUUACCAGGUUUUAACAACUUUGAAGUCCAUCUCAACCCAGCAAUGCAAACCCCUGUAUUGGAAGCACAUUCCUAUGGAAGCUUGUACAUACUACAUAUUACUGUGCUCUCAUACACACUAGAAAUGUGUCCAUUAUUAUGGAAAAGUUUUGCAUGGUAAUAGCUUAAAGUAGGACUUUCUUAAUUUUAAAGUAUAAAGAUACAGUGGAAAUCGGUAACAUUGACUCAGCAAAACAAGCCAACGAAAAAAUACAAAACACAGAGAAUGAGAAUCUGAAAGACUCUAACAACAAUAAUUCUUCUUAGGCCAAUAUGAAAAUAUUAGGUUGUAAAAGAAAUAGGAAAGAAUAAAAUCAAAAUAACAUUAAAUAUGGACAAUUCCAAGUGAAGAAUAAAGUAUAUAAAAAUCAAGGAAUAAAUCCAUGUAUACA